rnacentral:miRNA from 1 species
UAGGCGUGUCGUCGUAAGCAGC